rnacentral:lncRNA from 1 species
UCCUUUCUAAGAGCUGAUGGGGUGGAAUCAGUCAGUUGAGCUUCCUUUAUUCUCUAAAUCAGUUCCAGUUGGACGUUUAGAUUGGUCAGACAUGUAACCCUCUUCUAGUCCUGAAGCCGCAUUUGCUGUGCAGCCCCUAUUACCCUACAUUUAGAAAUCAUUAGGUGAGCCAACAUACCUGAACUUUUUCUACUGAGUGCAUUGACUACUAAAUUGCCCUUGCCUUGGUGAUACAGGAUCUUACAAUCAUAGUCUUUGAUGAGCUCUAUCUAACACCUCUAAUGCAUGUUGAGAUCCUUUUGAGUAAAUAUAUGCUUCAAGCUCUUAUAGUCUAUGUAAAUAUCCCGGAAGUAUUAGGAUGU